GGUGGGGAUGACGUCAAGUCCUCAUGGCCCUUAUGACCAGGGCUUCACACGUCAUACAAUGGUCGGUACAGAGGGUAGCCAAGCCGCGAGGUGGAGCCAAUCUCACAAAACCGAUCGUAGUCCGGAUUGCACUCUGCAACUCGAGUGCAUGAAGUCGGAAUCGCUAGUAAUCGCAGGUCAGCAUACUGCGGUGAAUACGUUCCCGGGUCUUGUACACACCGC
rnacentral:rRNA from 1 species